UACGUAGGUGGCAAGCGUUGUCCGGAUUUACUGGGCGUAAAGAGCGCGCAGGCGGUCGUUCAAGUCGCGUGUGAAAGCCCCCCGGCUCAACUGGGGAGGGUCACGCGAUACUGAUCGACUCGAAGGCAGGAGAGGGUAGUGGAAUUCCCGGUGUAGUGGUGAAAUGCGUAGAUAUCGGGAGGAACACCGAUGGCGAAGGCAGGUCUCUGGGCAUUAACUGACGCUGAGGAGCGAAAGCAUGGGGAGCGAACAGG
rnacentral:rRNA from 1 species